ensembl:ncRNA lncRNA:CR45429 long non-coding RNA:CR45429
GGGAGUCUGGAGACUGCGAGUGGCUGACCAGCAGUAGCCUUUCCUCGAAGUUGACAGGAGUUCCUGUUCCUGACCCAAACGCUUGGCACCUCAGCACCUGCUGAGCAGUGGCUAAAUGCUGACUGCUAGCUGCUAACUGGUAACUGCUAACUGAAUAACUGACAGGUUUCCAGGCCAAGGAGAGCUGCCAACAAAGAUGUCAAACGCAGAAUGAAAUUCUAGUUUCACUGGACGGCAUCAAGAAAACUCCUCUUAAAGAGAAUCAAUUUGACCAUUGGCCAGGACGCCGCCUGGCUGCUCCGUAAUUUAUGUAAACUCCCACUGCAAUGAAUAAUAAUUUGCUUCGAGGACUCCCCAAUUCCCAACGCAGAAGCUCCCAGGACUCUAAUCCGGCGGGCUUGGAUCCAGCUUAUUGAGCUGCAAUCGACGAACACCAGCAGAAAUUGAAUAAAAAUCGAGGGCCAAAGGAACGAAAAUAUGACAGCAAAGGUCGGAGUCGCCGUCUGGUCUGAUCCGACCAAAACAGGACUGAGGCUGAAUGGUGGACAAGGAAACAUGACAGCAAAAGUUUCGUGCUGUUCCUUGGCUAUGUCAUUGGCCUGUCUGCAAAUCUUGCCGUUGUGGUUUGCAGUCAACGUAGAAAAUUGACUUGAUAAAAAGUUUACUAUUUUACUAGAUUCCUUUUGCUCCUCGGCUGCGUUUAGUUCGCCAUCCCGGGUACGCUGGCUCCGUAAGUUGUCAGACGCUCUUUUGAUUCCCAUCUACACGCCUUAUGAAUUAUAAUAAAAUGUGCAGUCCCUGG